rnacentral:rRNA from 1 species
GCUCAGAACUUAAAGGAAUUGACGGGGCCGCACAAGCGGAGGAGCAUGUGGUUUAAUUCGAUGAUACGCGAGGAACCUUACCUGGGCUCGAACGUAAGAUGACUGUAGGUGAAAGCUUACAUCUCUUCGGAGCAUUUUACGAGGUGCUGCAUGGUUGUCGUCAGCUCGUGCCGUGAGGUGUCGGGUUAAGUCCCAUAACGAGCGCAACCCCUACCUUUAGUUGCCAUCAGGUUAAGCUGGGGACUCUAAAGGAACUGCCUACGCAAGUAGUGAGGAAGGCGGGGAUGACGUCAAAUCAGCACGGCCCUUACGUCCAGGGCUACACACGUGCUACAAUGGCCGAUACAGAGGGCAGCUACCUGGUGACAGGAUGCAAAUCUCCAAAGUCGGUCUCAGUUCGGAUCGGAGUCUGCAACCCGACUCCGUGAAGUUGGAUUCGCUAGUAAUCGCGCAUCAGCCAUGGCGCGGUGAAUACGUUCCGGGCCUU